UACGGAGGAUCCAAGCGUUAUCCGGAUUUAUUGGGUUUAAAGGGUGCGUAGGCGGCUUUUUAAGUCAGGGGUGAAAGACGGUAGCUUAACUAUCGCAGUGCCCUUGAUACUGAAGAGCUUGAAUGUACUAGAGGCAGGCGGAAUGUGACAAGUAGCGGUGAAAUGCAUAGAUAUGUCACAGAACACCAAUUGCGAAGGCAGCUUGCUAUGGUAUGAUUGACGCUGAGGCACGAAAGCGUGGGGAUCAAACAGG
rnacentral:rRNA from 1 species